CUCAGCCCUUAACAUAGACAGUAAACACACAAUACUGUCCGCCAGAGAACUACAAGUGAAAAACUAGAAACUCCAAGGACUUGGCGGUGCUCCACACCGACCUAGAGGAGCCUGUCCUAUAAUCGAUAAUCCACGUUUCACCUUACCGCCCUUUGCAAAUCAGCCUAUAUACUGCCGUCGUCAGCUUACCUUAUGAAAGAAACAGAGUAAGCAAAACAGUUAACAACUAAAACGUCAGGUCAAUGUGUAGCACAUAGGACGGAAGAGAUGGGCUACACUUUCUAUCAUAGAACAUACGAACAGUACAAUGAAAUCUGUACUAAAAGGUGGAUUUAGUAGUAAGACAAACAAGAAACUUUGCCUGAAACCCGCUCUGGAGCGCGCACACACCGCC
rnacentral:rRNA from 1 species